rnacentral:rRNA from 1 species
UACAGAGGUCUCAACCGUUGUUCGGAUUCACUGGGCGUAAAGGGUGCGUAGGUGGCCUGAAAAGUUUGAUGUGAAAGCUCAGGGCUUAACCCUGAAAUGGCAUUGAAUACUGUCGGGCUGGAGGUUUGGAGGGGGGACUGGAAUUCUUGGUGUAGCAGUGAAAUGCGUAGAUAUCAAGAGGAACACCAGUGGCGAAGGCGAGUCCCUGGACAACACCUGACACUGAGGCACGAAAGCUAGGGGAGCAAACAGG